UUCUAGUCCUGAUAGGAACGGCAUCCUCUUGUCUUGUCCUUACAACAAGACAAGAGAUAUAGUGGAUAGCAGGAAUCCCU
rfam:Flavobacterium succinicans strain DD5b FLB_contig000053, whole genome shotgun sequence.